GCUGACACAUUCCAGCCACUCAGCAGCAGACCCUCCCUCCCAGACCCUCCCACCUCCUGGACAGCAUCCAUUUUGAAUCUGCAUUCUAAGUGAGCUGUCCAGGAGGUGGGAGGGUCUGGGAGGGAGGGUCUGCUGCUGAUUGGCUGGAAUGUGUCAG
rnacentral:miRNA from 1 species